rnacentral:lncRNA from 1 species
CGCGUGAUUUUAAAGCUAUUUUUACCCCAAAGUUACUCGAAAGUUGCGUCGUGUUUCUAGGCGUAGGAAACGGGGUUACCGGCCGUUACUCCCGUCAAACUCUCAUAUGUUUAUGACGUAGAAAAUACAUGGAGUACAUGCGAUUGCUCUGUAAUGGCCGUGAGCGGCGAGCGUAUUUAGAUCGGCGAGAUUUUCGCGUGAUUUUUAAGCUAUUUUUACCCCAAAGUUACUCGAAAGUUGCGUCGUGUUUCUAGGCGUAGGAAACGGGGUUACCGGCCGUUACUCCCGUCAAACUCUCAUAUGUUUAUGACGUAGAAAAUACAUGGAGUACAUGCGAUUGCUCUGUAAUGGCCGUGAGCGGCGAGCGUA